rnacentral:rRNA from 1 species
GACGAACGCUGGCGGCGUGCCUAAUACAUGCAAGUUGAGCGCUGAAGGUUGGUACUUGUACCAACUGGAUGAGCAGCGAACGGGUGAGUAACGCGUGGGGAAUCUGCCUUUGAGCGGGGGACAACAUUUGGAAACGAAUGCUAAUACCGCAUAAAAACUUUAAACACAAGUUUUAAGUUUGAAAGAUGCAAUUGCAUCACUCAAAGAUGAUCCCGCGUUGUAUUAGCUAGUUGGUGAGGUAAAGGCUCACCAAGGCGAUGAUACAUAGCCGACCUGAGAGGGUGUUCGGCCACGUUGGGACUGAGACACGGCCCAAACUCCUACGGGAGGCAGCAGUAGGGAAUCUUCGGCAAUGGACGAAAGUCUGACCGAGCAACGCCGCGUGAGUGAAGAAGGUUUUCGGAUCGUAAAACUCUGUUGGUAGAGAAGAACGUUGGUGAGAGUGGAAAGCUCAUCAAGUGACGGUAACUACCCAGAAAGGGACGGCUAACUACGUG